AGAGUUUGAUCCUGGCUCAGGAUGAACGCUAGCGGCAGGCCUAACACAUGCAAGUCGAGGGGUAACAUAGGAAAGCUUGCUUUUCUGAUGACGACCGGCGCACGGGUGCGUAACGCGUAUACAACCUACCUUUUAGCGGGGAAUAGCCCAGGGAAACUUGGAUUAAUGCCCCAUAGUAUAUAGACUUCUCCUGAAGUUUAUAUUAAACAUUUAUGGCUAUUAGAUGGGUAUGCGUCCUAUUAGUUAGUUGGUAAGGUAACGGCUUACCAAGGCAGCGAUAGGUAGGGGUCCUGAGAGGGAGAUCCCCCACACUGGUACUGAGACACGGACCAGACUCCUACGGGAGGCAGCAGUGAGGAAUAUUGGACAAUGGGCGAGAGCCUGAUCCAGCCAUGCCGCGUGCAGGAAGACUGCCCUAUGGGUUGUAAACUGCUUUUACAGAGGAAGAACCACCCCCACGUGUGGGGGUUUGACGGUACUCUGCGAAUAAGGAUCGGCUAACUCCGUGCCAGCAGCCGCGGUAAUAC
rnacentral:rRNA from 1 species